rnacentral:misc_RNA from 1 species
GAGUGAUCCAAAUAAGAAGAGGGGGAAAAAGAAGCAUGUUCAUGCUAAAAGUAAUUAAUAAAAUUUGCAACCAAAAUUUAGAGAACUGAAAUUGUGUUUGGGUGCCUUCAGGAUUCUGCAAAAGUAUCAAAAACUAUCAUAAACAUUAAAGAAAGAAAUAUAAUGGUGCAAGAUAAAAAUAAAUGUUUCUUUUGGAUGUUGUGUAUCUUCUAGGGGUGUAAGCUGAAUU